rnacentral:rRNA from 1 species
UACGGGGGGGGCAAGCGUUGUUCGGAAUUACUGGGCGUAAAGGGCUCGUAGGCGGCCAACUAAGUCGGAUGUGAAAUCCCCAGGCUCAACUUGGGAACUGCAUCCGAUACUGGAUGGCUUGAAUUCGGGAGAGGGAUGCAGAAUUCCAGGUGUAGCGGUGAAAUGCGUAGAUAUCUGGAGGAAUACCGGUGGCGAAGGCGGCAUCCUGGACCGACAUUGACGCUGAGGAGCGAAAGCUAGAGGAGCAAACGGG